UAGACGAUUGGACCUUCUUGAGAGUGGUGAACAAUGAGAUAUGUUUUUUGAGUUCUGCAAUAAAUGAAUUGUCAAAAAGCAGGCCGUUGGCUGAAGACCCCAGUUCUUUAUGGGCCAUAUUCAUUAGCUUCGAGUUGAUUCAUAAAAGGGCCACUCUGCGUCUUUCUGUGCAUAACGCUGCGCUUGCAUUCCCCCAGCAUACUGAUACAGGGUUGUGCCCAUUCUCUGAUGGCGUUUGGGUCUGUGAGAGUGCCAGGUCCGCGAAAUACAGAAAAACAGGGGGCAAGCAAAUCCAGUAAUUUGUCGUGAGAUGCUUUGAGUCCCUUCUCGAUUCAUUUUCCGUGGGUUGCGUCAAAUUCGGGGGUUCAUGUAAUUUUAUCUGGCAGCAUGGGUCGUGGGCAUUCCACCCUAAGACGUGCUCGUACCAUCCGAUCUAUUGGCUUGCGCAUUCAGAAGUGGACGAACUUGGCUAGGUGGUUAGGCAGCUUCCAUUCUGAGGACAGUGGAUGACGGAUGGUCCGAAGGUCAAAGAGAGGGCAACCUUGAGCGUCUAGGAAUAACCCCUCACUUUCAAUUAUGAAGGAUCCUUGUGUAUCCUGUGAGAAAGAAUCCUCGGCAUAAGACUCUUUAAUGUAUUUCAAUUCCGAGUAGGUAACAUUUUGCCAGUCACACUCUUCAUCUGACUUGAAGGCCUUUCAAUGAUGACCUCAUAAUUCUGGGGAUAGGCCUCUUCCUCCUCCGAGGAAACCACCAGUGGGGGUAAUUUCGGUCUAGACAUAUGUUUGCUGCGUUUAGCAGGUGCCUUCCC